GGAUUAGAUACCCUGGUAGUCCUAGCUGUAAACGAUGGGCACUAGGCAAAGGAGGUUCCGAUGCAAUCUUUGCCGUAGCUAAUGCAUUAAGUGCCCCGCCUGGGGAGUAUGGUCGCAAGGCUAAAACUCAAAGGAAUUGACGGGGGCUCACACAAGCGGUGGAGCAUGUGGUUUAAUUCGAAGCAACGCUCAGAACCUUACCCGGGUUUAAAGUGCAGGGAUUAACCCUAUGAAAGUAGGGGGAUUGCCUUUGGUGUAACCUGUACAGGUGUUGCAUGGCUGUCGUCAGCUCGUGUCG
rnacentral:rRNA from 1 species